GAUGAACGCUGGCGGCGUGCCUAAUACAUGCAAGUCGAGCGAACAGAUGAGGAGCUUGCUCCUCUGACGUUAGCGGCGGACGGGUGAGUAACACGUGGAUAACCUACCUAUAAGACUGGGAUAAAUUCGGGAAACCGGAGCUAAUACCGGAUAAUAUAUUGAACCGCAUGGUUCAAUAGUGAAAGACGGUUUUGCUGUCACUUAUAGAUGGAUACGCGCCGCAUUAGCUAGUUGGUAAGGUAACGGCUUACCAAGGCAACGAUGCGUAGCCGACCUGAGAGGGUGAUCGGCCACACUGGAACUUAGACACGGUCCAGACGCCUACGGGAGGCAGCAGUAGGGAAUCUUCCGCAAUGGGCGAAAGCCUGACGGAGCAACGCCGCGUGAGUGAUGAAGGUCUUCGGAUCGUAAAACUCUGUUAUUAGGGAAGAACAAAUGUGUAAGUAACUAUGCACGUCUUGACGGUACCUAAUCAGAAAGCCACGGCUAACUACGUG
rnacentral:rRNA from 1 species